ACUCAGCGUGUGUGGGGCGGGGCAAUGCCACUCUCCCAGCUCCACCAGCUCCACCGGAGGGCGGGUUGCUCGAAGCUUGUGCCUCGGUUUCCCAUCCAUACAGUACGGGCAGGAUUACCGCCUCUAAUCAGCCGUGAGGACCAGCU
rnacentral:snoRNA from 1 species